rfam:Ornithorhynchus anatinus chromosome 4, whole genome shotgun sequence.
AGCAGCGUGGCUCAGUGGAAAGAGCACGGGCUUUGGAGUCAGAGGUCUUGAGUUCGAUUCCCAGCUCUGCCG